rnacentral:rRNA from 1 species
GAUGAACGCUGGCGGCGUGCCUAAUACAUGCAAGUCGAGCGAACAGAUGAGGAGCUUGCUCCUCUGACGUUAGCGGCGGACGGGUGAGUAACACGUGGAUAACCUACCUAUAAGACUGGGAUAACUUCGGGAAACAGGAGCUAAUACCGGAUAAUAUAUUGAACCGCAUGGUUCAAUAGUGAAAGACGGUUUUGCUGUCACUUAUAGAUGGAUCCGCGCCGCAUUAGCUAGUUGGUAAGGUAACGGCUUACCAAGGCAACGAUGCGUAGCCGACCUGAGAGGGUGAUCGGCCACACUGGUACUGAGACACGGUCCAGACUCCUACGGGAGGCAGCAGUAGGGAAUCUUCCGCAAUGGGCGAAAGCCUGACGGAGCAACGCCGCGUGAGUGAUGAAGGUCUUCGGAUCGUAAAACUCUGUUAUUAGGGAAGAACAAAUGUGUAAGUAACUAUGCACGUCUUGACGGUACCUAAUCAGAAAGCCACGGCUAACUACGUG